rnacentral:lncRNA from 1 species
UGAAUAGUAUAAUCUAACGGGUAAAAAUGAUCAAAGGCGUAGAUCUAACGGUAAAAGAUUUACAAGCACCAAGUGCUUGGUGCUUUUACAAGCACUAUAGCCGGACUCUAUAUAUAUAUAUAUAUUAUAAAAUAGAACUAGGCUAAUAUACUAUUAAUAGCACCAAGUCAUUGGUGCUACCAAGUGGCUAUUGGGUUAAGAGAUGUGCGGUUAGGAUGAUGUGGGCCCCUUAGGGUUGAGUGGGUGGUUAGUUGAAUAGUAUGAUCUAACGGGUGAAAAUGAUCAAAAGGUUAGAUCUAACGGCGGAAAACUUGGUAGCACCAAGUGUUUCGUGCUAUUAAUAGCAUAGUAGCCGGACUCUUAUAAAAUAAUAUAUAUUAUGUAUUU